UACGAAGGGGGCUAGCGUUGCUCGGAAUCACUGGGCGUAAAGGGUGCGUAGGCGGGCUUUUAAGUCAGGGUGAAAUCCUGGAGCUCAACUCCAGAACUGCCUUUGAUACUGAAGAUCUCGAGUCCGGGAGAGGUGAGUGGAACUGCGAGUGUAGAGGUGAAAUUCGUAGAUAUUCGCAAGAACACCAGUGGCGAAGGCGGCUCACUGGCCCGGUACUGACGCUGAGGCACGAAAGCGUGGGGAGCAAACAGG
rnacentral:rRNA from 1 species